rnacentral:lncRNA from 1 species
GGGAGGGAGGGGUAGGGAGGGGUAGUGAGGGGAAGGGAGAUGUAAGGAGGGGAAGGGAGGUGUAGGGAGGGGUAGAGAGGGGGAGAGAGAGGUAGGGAGAGGAAAGGAGGGGAUGGGAGGUGUUGGGAGGGAGGGGUAGUGAGGGUAGGGAGGGGUAGGAGGUGUAGGGAGGGGAAGUGAGAGGUAAGGAGGGGAAGGGAGAGGAUGGGAGAGGUAGGGAGGGGAAGGGGUGAUAACAGGGGUUAAGAAAGCACGCUUUCUCUGGUACAGUGUGGGUUAGGGUGGUAAUGAUAACAUGUGGUCUGGGGUAUAGUGUGGGUUAGAGUGGUAAUGAUAACAUGUGGUCUGGGGUAUAGUGUGGGUUAGGGUGGUAAUGAUAACAUGUGGUCUGGGGUAUAGUGUGGGUUAGGGUGGUAAUGAUAACAUGUGGUCUGGGGUAUAGUGUGGGUUAGGGUGGUAAUGAUAACAUGUGGUCUGGGGUAUAGUGUGGGUUAGGGUGGUAAUGAUAACAUGUGGUCUGGGGUAUAGUGUGGGUUAGGGUGGUAAUAAUAACAUGUGGUCUGGGGUAUAGUGUGGGUUAGGGUGGUAAUGAUAACAUGUGGUCUGGGGUAUAGUGUGGGUUAGGGUGGUAAUGAUAACAUGUGGUCUGGGGUAUAGUGUGGGUUAGGGUGGUGGUGAAAGUCGGGGAUUGGAUAGGCAGGAAAAAUACAACACAAUAGCAAAAUGGUAAAGGUCAUCAUUCAGUAAGUAAACAUUCAGGAAGUAAACAUUCAGUAAGUAAACAUUCAAUAAGUAAACAUUCAGGAAGUAAACAUUCAGUAAGUAAUCAUUCAGUAAGUAAACAUUCAGUAAGUAAUCAUUCAUUAAGUAAUCAUUCAGUAAGUAGCCAUUCAGUAAGUAGCCAUUCAGUAAGUAAACAUUCAAUAAGUAAUCAUUCAUUAAGUAAUCAUUCAGUAAGUAAACAUUUAGUAAAUAGUCAUUCAGUAAGUAGCCAUUCAGUAAGUAGUCAUUCAGUAAGUAAACAUUCAAUAAAUAAACUUUCAGGAAGUAAACAUUCAGUAAGUAAACUUUCAGGAAGUAAACAUUCAGUAAGUAAACAUUCAGUAAGUAAACAUUCAGUAAGUAAUCAUUCAAUAUGUAAUCAUUCAAUAAGUAAUAAUUCAGUAAGUAAUCAUUCAGUAAGUAAGCAUUCAAUAAGUAAGCAUUCCGUUGGUAAACAUUUGGUAAGUAAUCGUUGAGUAAGUAUGAAACUGAUGGGCCCAAACCAGGUCACAGUGAGAGAGAGUUCUAGUCUACUGUCAAACUAAUAGGCCCAAACCAGGUCACAGUGAAUAAUUCAGCAGCUUUUUAGGGAAGAGGAGACACUUCCAAUAACUCCCCUGGGAGAGAGGUCUGGAACCUGGUCUGUACACACACACGCGCACACACACACACACACACCUACACACAUGCAUGCACACAUACACACCUACACACAUGCAUGCAAACACACACACAC